UACGUAGGUGACAAGCGUUGUCCGGAUUUACUGGGCGUAAAGAGUGCGCAGGCGGUCGAUCAAGUCGAGUGUGAAAGCCCCCGGCUCAACUGGGGAGGGUCAUUCGAUACUGAUCGACUCGAAGGCAGGAGAGGGUAGUGGAAUUCCCGGUGUAGUGGUGAAAUGCGUAGAUAUCGGGAGGAACACCAGUGGCGAAGGCGACUACCUGGCCUGUUCUUGACGCUGAGGCGCGAAAGCUAGGGGAGCAAACGGG
rnacentral:rRNA from 1 species